rnacentral:rRNA from 1 species
ACUGAAAAUCUUCGGAAUUGUAGUCUGUCGAAGCCAAGUCAGCGAUCUCUUUAUCUUAAGUCUCUUGGAAUAGAGCGCCAUGGAGGGUGACAGCCCCGUUUAUAGAUAAAGCGUGAGCGUACGACUGGCUUUCUACGAGUCGAGUUGUUUGGGAUUGCAGCUCUAAUUGGGUGGUAAAUUCCAUCUAAAGCUAAAUAUUGGUGGGAGACCGAUAGCGAACAAGUACCGUGAGGGAAAGAUGAAAAGAACUUUGAAAAGAGAGUGAAAAGUACCUGAAAUUGCUGAAAAGGAACCGAUAGGCACCAGUGUUUUGGAGGAUUYUAUUCUCCCUGAGGUUAUGCUUUCUUUUUGACGCAAGAAAAGACUUGGUGUUCGUGUGACAUCAGGAAUCUGUUGUGUCGGCGAGAGACUAUAACAAAAUGGUUCUUAUCAACCCGUCUUGAAACACGGACCAAGGAGUCUAACAUGCAUGCGAGUGCUCGGGGUGAACCCCCCAGCGCGUAAUGAAAGUAAAGAGCUUCGGCUCUAGGUAGGAUCUCUUGUGCACUAUCGACCGACCAUUGUCUCUCGAGACUAAGGUUUGAGUGUGAGCAUUCAUGUUGGGACCCGAAAGAUGGUGAACUAUUCCUGAGUAGGACGAAGUCAGGGGAAACUCUGAUGGAGGUCCGUAGCGAUUCU